rnacentral:rRNA from 1 species
GUGGUAAUGCCGGAUGUUCCACAUGAUCGCAUGUGAUUGUGGGAAAGAUUCUAUCGGCGUGGGAUGGGGUCGCGUCCUAUCAGCUUGUUGGUGAGGUAACGGCUCACCAAGGCUUCGACGGGUAGCCGGCCUGAGAGGGCGACCGGCCACAUUGGGACUGAGAUACGGCCCAGACUCCUACGGGAGGCAGCAGUGGGGAAUAUUGCACAAUGGGCGCAAGCCUGAUGCAGCGACGCCGCGUGAGGGAUGGAGGCCUUCGGGUUGUAAACCUCUUUUGUUUGGGAGCAAGCCUUCGGGUGAGUGUACCUUUCGAAUAAGCGCCGGCUAACUACGUGCCAGCAGCCGCGGUAAUACGUAGGGCGCAAGCGUUAUCCGGAUUUAUUGGGCGUAAAGGGCUCGUAGGCGGCUCGUCGCGUCCGGUGUGAAAGUCCAUCGCUUAACGGUGGAUCUGCGCCGGGUACGGGCGGGCUGGAGUGCGGUAGGGGAGACUGGAAUUCCCGGUGUAACGGUGGAAUGUGUAGAUAUCGAAAAAAAACACCA